rnacentral:rRNA from 1 species
CGAAAGCGUGGGGAGCAAACAGGAUUAGAUACCCUGGUAGUCCACGCCGUAAACGAUGUCGACUAGCCGUUGGAUCCAUUUAAGGGUUUAGUGGCGCAGCUAACGCGAUAAGUCGACCGCCUGGGGAGUACGGCCGCAAGGUUCAAACUCAAAGGAAUUGACGGGGGCCCGCACAAGCGGUAGAGCAUGUGGAUUAAAUCGAUGCAACGCGAAGUACCCUUACCAGCCCUUGACAUCGACGGACAUGUCAGAGAUGACAGGUGCCUUCGGGAGCCAAAUGACAGGUGACUGCAUGGCUGUCGUCAGCUCGUGUAGAUGAGAUGUUGAGUUAAGUCCCGAGACGAGCGCAACCCUUGUCCUUACGUAGCGAGCGGUUCGGCACAGGUGAACUCUAAGGAGACGCUCGGUGAUCACACGGAGGAAGGUGAGGACGACGUCUAGUCAUCGUCGCCAUUAUGGGCUGGGCUACACACGCGCAACAAUGCUCGGUACAGAGGUUCGCGAAGCCGCGAGGUGGAGCCAAUCCCAGAAAGCCGAUCGUAGU